UGCAGAGCUUAGCUGAUUGGUGAACAGUGAUUGAUUUCCUCUUUGUUCACAGUGGCUAAGUUCUGCACCUGA
rnacentral:pre_miRNA from 1 species